ensembl:lncRNA
CCACAUCAGCCCAUGUUCUCUGUCCAUGUCUCUUGGAUGGAAAUGAUAAAGGAGGAGAUUGCACAGGAAAUCCAUGAUAAAUUUAGACAUUACCUGCUGUGUCCCCCUGAGAGUCACAUGCUGAAAUCCGAAUGUCCAAGAUGGUGGUGUUGGGAGGUGGGGCCUCUGGGAGGUGAGAGGUCACUGGGCUGGAGACUCAUGAAGGGGUUAGUGCCCUCAUAAAAGAGACCCUACAGCCCUCCUCCCUGCAAGAGUCUGUGACCUGGAAGGAGGCUCUCACUCAACCGAACUUCCGGCCUCUGGGUCUGUGAGAAAGGGACUUCUGUUGUCUAUCAGCUGCUCAGUCUGUGGCAUUUGUGAUAGCAUCCCGAGGGACUCAGACAGUAGCCCGACAAUCACAAGAGUUCACCCAGCCUUCCCAGGUACCCAGUAAGAGAGGUGUGCUGUGAGGACGUCACUUGAGAGAGGUGUUGAGUGCAGCUCAGAGAGGCUGAGUGUCUUGUCUAAGGGCAUACAGCGGGAAGCAGCAGAACCAGGCUCUCGUCCCUAGGAAGAGGCGCAUGGUCAGCAUAGUGGUCCCAGCAGACCCCAAGCUCCUCCCUCUAGCCCCAGAGAUGCAGGUGGACCAGCCAGGACCCCCAAACUGGCUGUUGUGCCCCCCAAGCAGGGCAGGGCUGGGCCCACAGCAAUCUUAGAUAGGAAUCCACCUGCUCACUCCUCUGGGAGUGAGGGACGGUGCAGGACACCCAUCCUGACUGGUCUGGGCUGCUCCUCAGUCUCCGGGCCUCACGGUUUAUCUCCAUGUAGCACAGAUCCUUUAAACACGUCAGCAUUGCUAUGAAAAUCAGGAUCAAUUCUGGCCAAGACCUGACUCACCCAUUGUCCCUGCUCAUUGUCCUUUUAGGAAAUUCUUCCCAAGGGGGCUCCUGUGGGUUUGGGCAGAGGGGCCUCAUGGUGACCCUCAUGCCAUGUGUCCGGUCACCCCUCACCUCCUGGGGAGGCACACUUUCCAGAAGUCAUCAGAACAAGCUGGUCUUUCCUGGAAGGAUCCGGGCUCUCCCAACACUUCCUGGAUUUGCAGGUUCCCGAAUUCACCAGUAUUCUUUCUCAACCUUUAUUUAUUUAUCUCACUUUAUUAUUUUUGGAUUAAUGUAAAUGAAGUCUGUGUUUGGCUUGCUAGAAUGGAUGAAAGGUUUGCUCAGGUCAGAAGCUUCAAAGUGGGUUUUGAUGGAAGAAAACUGAUAAAAAAAUCUCUGCAGUGUUUUUUAACCUUCACCCCGUGUUGGUAUGAGAUGAGGAGGAUGGGGAGGUGAUGAUGGGAAGAGACUUGCUCCCAUCUUCACCCACACGGUGGGGGGAGAGCACCCACGGGCACCUGUCUGGGGCGGGACGUCACUGGGCCCCCACCCCGCUGGCCGGAACCUAGCCGUGGGCUCACACCUGCACACUCUGCACCUUUAGUAAGAACAGGCUCCAGGGUGGUGGGUCUUUGGGAGGGACAAUCAUGCCUAGUUACAGUUAGUAUUAUCAGCUGAGAGGAGAAUGGAUAUUGGUGAGCACUAUUAAUAGCCACUUCUGCCUUCACACCUGCCCGUCAGGCUGGUUUUAAUCUGGAGACCGAGGUUCUAUCUGAGGCGCCCAGAGAAGUCAGCUCCUACCAGGGUCAGCCCUUCAGUGUUCUGCUAAGAUGUGUCUCCUCCUCCCAUCUCUCUGUGCUGUGGGUUGUACCCUCCUAUUGUCUUGGUUUGGAUCCGCAACCCCCUACCCCAGGCAGACCAGGGUCAAGGUUGGGUGCGAGGGGUCUGUUUGAGAGGCGACCUCAGGGGACAUCAGGAAAGGAGAGCGGGAAGAGAAAGGGCCAGUGCCCAGUGCCUUCUUGGCCCUGUGACCGUGGUGGGAGCUCGAGGGGACUGUGGAUCACCCCUUGGAGUUUCUCAGCUGCUCAGCCAGGGCGCCAGGACGUUGCCCACCUACUCUCCCUGGUUGAGAACUGCUCCCAAGGACAGUGGUUCCUGGCAGUUCUGGCCUGCCUGUCUGCGCUCAGGCCAUGCUUGUGCCCCCAGCAGAAAACGCUCCCGCGAGAGGCUGCAGGCGCCAGAGGAAGCCACGGCUGUGUCCAGGAUGAUGCCUGCCAAGGCCGGGCACCAGCAGCGAUGCUACAGCCGUGUCCUGAGCUGACGAACCCCCGGUCUCCACGGAGUCACUCCCCUCACCUCCCCACCAGCUGUGAGCUGCUGACGUGGCAGCUUCGUGGCUUGGACGACUCCACGGAAGCUCUGCUGCUGGGAGCCUGAGGAGCCACUUACAAUUUAGGGGUGACCUCUUUCCUAAGGUUCCCAGGCACUCCUGCGCCCAGCCCUGUCCUUCAGGAAGGCGGCUGUGUAUUAGUUCGCUAUCUGGGGGCUUGGACAGCCGCAAGGUUGUCUCCCGCAGUCAGGAGGCCCCACGUCUGAGACCAAGGUGCGAGUGGGGCUGCUGCACCUGGGCUGGGAGCAGGACCUGCUCGGGGUUCCCUGGCCACCCGGUGCUCCCUGUAGACAUGUCCCCACCAUCUCCGCCCAUGUGCCCUCUGUGCCCACAGCCCCCCCUUUUAUCAGUGGGAGGCCCACCCUCGCCAGUGUGACCUCAUCUUGACUAACACCAUAUUUCCAAAUAAGGGCACAUUCUGAGGUGCUGGGUUUUGGGACUCCCACAUGGGGAUUUGGGGAGGGCAUGGUUCAGCACGCAAAGGGUGGGAGAAGAUGGCAAAGGGGCUGCCACACGGCGUGUGAGAGGAUCUGAUGUAGAUCAGCGGAGCCCCCAGGCAGGUGGAGGUGUGUGCCGAGGUCACCCUCCGGGCAGGGCACAAGCGCUUCUUCUGAGACACUUGAGGUCGGAAUGAACGGGCUCCAUGCAUCGUGUGGCCUCACCAGGGCCCUUGGUUUUUGAACUCGAGUGCCCUUUGGGUUUCAUCCAGCUCUGCCGAGGCAGCCCCUAGGAUCCUCCCUGAAACGGGACCCGGGGCGGGGUGUGGAGCUUCCACUGACAGCCGGGAGGAGCGGACCCUGCGGCCUGUGACUCUUCGGUGCCUGCUUUCAACCUCCGGGCAGUGGGGGUGGGGGAGCAGGCAGAGGGAGUCGGAAAGUGGUCCGGUCCCCAGAGCGGUCACUGGCCAUCCUCCGCCCCCUGGAGAAUAAUCCAUUUAAAACUUCUGAGCUGUCUAGACUUGUUAUCUGGCCCCUAAUUCCUGAGAGCCCGGAGCGGGCAGCAGCGGGACUGCCGAGAUAGCAAGAGGGUGAAGUCAUUGGCGUAAAUCCUGCAGCAGGAAGUCGGCUCCAGGAACGAUGGACGAGCGUGGGCCGGUGCCCGCACGGGGGGCAAGAUAACGCGUCUAGACUCCGCUGGCCAUUUCCUCCCCUUCCUCUAGGUGUCCUAUCGGCCGCCCCGCGGCCUUCCUGCUCGCUCUUCCCGUGCCCCGCAGGAGAAACCCUCUCAGGAAGACCUCACUUCAUUUUCGGUGUGAGGGGCUGGGUGUGGGCGCCUUCUCUAUGCCACGGCGACGGCGGGGACAGCCAGGCCAGCCUCCACCACCCUGUCAUUUCUGAGAGUUCAACGGGUUAGGGGAAAAAUGACGUUUUCUCGCCAGCAUCCAAAGGUCAAUGGAAGGUCAUUGGUGGGAUCAGGAGGACACAAGUUGAUGUCAAACAGACCCAGAGAUUUCCACAAGUCCUGGAGAGAAAAGAGCCCGGAGCAAAGCUUAUCUGAAAACCCCUGGGAGCUGUGGAACGCUGCUCAAGCUGCAUAACCUCCCAUUUCCGGAGAGAAUGGCUCGUUUCAUUGGCCCCAGAGCAUGCUGGGUGAUCCUGAACCCUGAAGUCAGGGUGGGGAGUGAGGUCAAAAGGUCAUCUGGUUCACUCCCCUGCCUCUAGGCAGGAUUCUCCCAGCAAAGAGUCGUCGUGUGUGUUCUAGCAAGCAAGGCCGCAAGUGGGGGCUUGGGGAGGAAACAGGCCUGUGAGCACCUGUGAGCAAUGAUGACGUGGUAAUCCCCGCCAGCUGUCCAAGUCUGCGAGCCCCACCAGUGCCUUGAAGUUUGGAGAACUGCACUGGGACCUGUUGGGGGACAUUGGUGGGAAAGAGCGCAGUGUGUCCAGAGAUCAGCCACCACCUCUGGGGCAACAACCACAGAACAUCAAUGACAACAACAGAAGCGAAAAUGUCUUGAGCAGUUGCCAUUCGCAGGGUUAUGUGGAGUGGCUAAAUGCUUGCACGUCAUCUCUUGAAUCAUCAUAUAAGCCUCUAAGCCCACGGGGGGGUCCUGUUGUAAUUGUCCAAAAUGAGGCUCAGAGAUGGAAGGUGCCUGCCCAAGGUCCCCUAGUCUGUAAGAAGCACAGGUAGAGUUUGGCUCAGUUGGAGCGACUUCAGAGCCCAGGACUGAACAGCUGCUCCUCAUGUGAAUGUACCACGUGUGUCCUGUUCCACUGAGCAGAUGUAAGAGAAAGCUAUGCUGUGUGAAAGGAGGUCAAAGUCAGCAAGAAGAGUGCGUCUAAAGAUGCAGAAGGCCCUUGAGUCUCACCCAGCCAUGAACAUAGCCUCAAGCUGGAGGCGGACCCCACUAAAGCGGCUGCAGAGAUUGUGAGGAAGAAAAAGGAAGACCAGACUGAGAGUGCCCAGGAGUCCCAGCUGGCCACAGCGGAGGAGCUGCCUAAUACCUGAGUCCAUGGGAAGUGUGACGUUUGUCAUUAAGGCGCUAUCAGUAGGGGGCUAGUUAAAUAAACAGACAAUGAAUGGGGCACCUGGUGGAAUAGUAUGCAGCCAUCAAAAGGAAUGCAAGGCUCUUUAUGUAACGAUGUGGAAUGAUCACCAAAGUAGUUGAAUGAAAAGCCGCUCGAUUUUACGUGAGUGUGUGUGUACUUACGUGUGUAAGUGUAUGUAUUCAUAUGCUUGCUGCUGCUGCUGCUAAGUUGCUUCAGUCGUGUCCGACUCUGUGUGACCCCACAGACGGCAGCCCACCAGGCUCCCCCGUCCCUGGGAUUCUCCAGGCAAGAACACUGGAGUGGGUUGCCACUUCCUUCUCCAAUGCAUGAAAGUGAAAAGUGAAAGUGAAGUCGCUCAGUCGUGUCCGACCCUCAGCGACCCCAUGGACUGCAGCCUACUAGGCUCCUCCGUCCAUGGGAUUUUCCAGGCAAGAGUACUGGAG